UUGAAUGUUUGAAGUAGUUGAGCUGGUCUUCACGGACAUGUGCUUGCUGCUUCUAUUCAUCCUAUCCACCUGUGCACUUACUGUAGAGCUUUGAAGAAUGUCUUUGUUAACUCAAGGAUUAGUAUUCUAGUUCUAUGUAUUUACAAACUCUAUGAAUGUCUAGAAUGUCUUUUAUUGGGACUUCAUUGACCCUUUAAACUUUAUA
rnacentral:misc_RNA from 1 species